rnacentral:rRNA from 1 species
GGGGAAUUUUCCGCAAUGGGCGAAAGCCUGACGGAGCAAUACCGCGUGAGGGAAGAAGGCUCUUGGGUUGUAAACCUCUUUUCUUAGGGAAGAAAAAAAUGACGGUACCUAAGGAAUAAGCAUCGGCUAACUCCGUGCCAGCAGCCGCGGUAAUACGGAGGAUGCAAGCGUUAUCCGGAAUGAUUGGGCGUAAAGCGUCCGCAGGUGGCAUUUCAAGUCUGCGGUUAAAGGUUCUGGCUCAACCAGAGACAGGCCGUGGAAACUGAAAAGCUAGAGUAAGGUAGGGGCAGAGGGAAUUCCCAGUGUAGCGGUGAAAUGCGUAGAGAUUGGGAAGAACACCGGUGGCGAAAGCGCUCUGCUAGGCCAAAACUGACACUGAGGGACGAAAGCUAGGGGAGCGAAUGGGAUUAGAUACCCYAGUAGUCCUAGCCGUAAACGAUGGAUACUAGGUGUAGCUUGUAUCGAYYYAAGCUGUGCCGUAGCUAACGCGUUAAGUAUCCCGCCNUGGGGAGUACGCGCGCAAGCGUGAAACUCAAAGGAAUUGACGGGGGCCCGCACAAGC